UUUCCGUAGGCGAACCUGCGGAAGGAUCAUUACUGAGUGAGGGCCCCUCGGGGUCCAACCUCCCACCCGUGUUUAACGAACCUUGUUGCUUCGGCGGGCCCGCCUCACGGCCGCCGGGGGGCAUCUGCCCCCGGGCCCGCGCCCGCCGAAGCCACCUGUGAACGCUGUCUGAAGUAUGCAGUCUGAGACAAUUAUUAAAUUAAUUAAAACUUUCAACAACGGAUCUCUUGGUUCCG
rnacentral:misc_RNA from 1 species